rnacentral:tRNA from 1 species
ACCGAGCUGGUCCAACGGCUCACGACGCCUGGCUCUGAACCAGGAAAUCGGGGUUCGACUCCCUGGCUCGGUG